GUGCUCGCUUCGGCAGCACACAUACUAAAAUUGGAACGAUACAGAGAAGAUUAGCAUGGCCCCUGUGCAAGGAUGACACACAAAUUCGGGAAGCGUUCCAUACUUUU
rnacentral:snRNA from 1 species